rnacentral:tRNA from 1 species
UGACCUAUAGCUCAACGGGUUAGAGUGCCAGUCUUGUAAGCUGGAGGUUCCAGCCUUGCCUGCCGGCAGGCAGGGUUCAAGUCCUGGUAGGUCGA